rnacentral:rRNA from 1 species
UACGAAGGGUGCAAGCGUUAUUCGGAAUCAUUGGGCGUAAAGCGCGCGCAGGCGGAUCAACAAGUCAGGUGUGAAAUCUCGAAGCUCAACUUCGAAACUGCGCCUGAAACUGUUAGUCUAGAGUGUCGGAGGGGGUAGGGGAAUUUCACGUGUAGGGGUAAAAUCCGUAGAGAUGUGAAGGAACACCGGGGGCGAAGGCGCCUACCUGGACGACUACUGACGCUGAGGCGCGAAAGCGUGGGGAGCAAACAGG